CGCGGGUGACUUGUAGGCAUUUCCUGUGCAGGAGGAUGAAGGAUCCAGACGUCACGAGCAUCACUCUUUAUGUCCAUUUUCCUGGGUGAAAAGAGACCAGCGCUGUCUGUUUUCGUGAGACAUUGAGCCAUAUCAGGAGUUUGCUUUUACAAAAUCAAUUGAGGCUCUGCCAAGAGAGAACUAUGAGGGCACAAGACCUUAUAUUUUGUAAAGGACUUUUUACUGUGUCUCAUCACAGAUGCCAGUAGCUCAGGGCUUUCCCACAAUCAAGGUUUACUUUCCACAACAUCAAAACAGCCUGGUGCAGCCCAGCCACUUCUAUCGAGAGGAAGCAUUACCUGUUGGGAUUUGAGGCUUUAUAUCAGUGGUCCCCGACCUUUUCGUCUGGUGGGCGCCAGACAAAGGACUGUGACGGCGGUGGAGCAUCUGCCGAAAUGCCACUGAAUUUCUGCGGCGUUUUGGCAGCAAUGCCUCUCGAUGUCGCUUGUCAGCGGCAAGUGGCGUCAUCGAGAGGCAACGCCGCAGAAAUUCAGUGGCAUUUCGGCGGAUGCUCCACCGCCAGCCAGGACGCGGUCGCAUUUAGAUGCCCCCGCAGGCGCCAAUGCACCCGCAAGCAGCACAUUGGAGACACCUGCUUUCUAUAAUAGCAGUAGGCGUUGUUUUGAUAUUGCAGCUUGUGUUCUCCCCCCUGCCCUGGCCCUCUCAGGCUUGCACAGCAUGAUUACAUGAGUCCUGCUACCUCAAAUCUGUUGCCCCCAGCUGCAGACUCGCUCCCAGGCGCAGCAUAGACAUACCUAUUGUAAAUUUGUAAAACUUGAGGAAUGCAUUUGGGCCAUGAGAAAAAGCCAACCUUCCCCACUGUAGAAUCUGUACUGUUAUGUCAAGGGGAAUAAGGCAGUGCUUCAAAGGAAAACUUUAGAAAUGGCAGGGGGAGAAAUAGGAAAGGAAAGCCCCUUUUCUCAGGAGAUACAAACUCAACUCCCUCCUGUAUCUAUCACCAGUGGAUUUAGCCUCCCUCCUUGUGUGGUGUAAAUAAAAUAAAGAGGAGACAAGGUGGUUUGGCAGAAACAAAGGUGCAGUGGAUACCACGUACAGGGGUGAUGCCCAGGACCUUCCACUCUCCGGCUGAUUUAGAGCCUUUGAGGAGGAGCACUGGGAAGUCCAGACGACUGUUGGAUUUCGUUGCUGGCAAGGAGGCCCUGUGGGAUGAUGAACACCAGGAAUGCAGGAUGGCAGGAAUGGUGGUGACAGGCCUCCUGUUCCUCAAUCUCGCUGCGGGACCGGCGGUAUUCUUCACUCUUCAGCUCUGGAGCACUUUGAAGACGCGAUUGUGUCCGUACUGUUGCUGGGGUGGACAGCCUUGCGCAGGCGCUGAACAAGUCCUUACAUCACUUUUGUGGCGGGAAAAGUUCUGAGGAGAUGGAAUGCUGAGGGCUGGUUUUGGCGGGAAAAACUGGUUUUGACUGGUUUGAGCCUGUGUCUUGAUGGUAAACAAGUCCACUCUUAGAGAUGGAGUCCAAGGGUCAAUAGUUCAUAUACUCCAUAUUGGAUCUUAUUUUAAAGCCAGUGAUUUACUUCAUAAACAACUAAUUGAACAUAUUAAACAGUUUACUUCUUACACCUAACAGUACGUUAGUCCAAUACUGCCACUGAUCAGGCUGAAGCACCUGGUGUGUGUUUGUUUUUUAUGGUGAAACUGCUGUCAGGGAACUCUCUUCUUGUUAAACUUUGUGCCCCAAGCAAACCAUAAAACAUUUCCUUUCCUGCAACAAGUUUGUGUCUUGUUCUGGGAAAGGGCUUUAUGGAAAAGAAAUACAGAGCAGCUACAGUGCCCUGCUAGCAUAGAAAUGGACUGGAAAUUUUAUGCAAUAUUUAUUAAUGUAAAACAGAAGCUAUAUAAAUCCAGCUUUUUCCACA